UAGGAAUUUGGGGAUUUUAGGGUGGAUUUGUCAAUGCAUAUGGCUAGGAAGUGCUUAUGAGCAGCACUCAACAAAAUGCCCUGAUGACUAGGAUUGCUUGUGCAGUCGAUUUUUGUUGUUGGUUCAUAUUUAAAGAUCCUUCUGGUGUUGUUGUUGUUGUUGCAACCCAGGCCGAAAAUGUAAAGAUUCUUCUUUUGUAGGUCACAGAUAUCUGAUGCGGCUAUUGAGGAAGUCUGCAAGGUGGAUAAAAAGUUCAGGAAAGGGGGUCAUGUUUGAGUUCAUGUUUUUGUCUUUAGGCAUCUAGAAGGAUUGGCAAUGGAUGUUUCCUGAAUUGGUAGAAGGCUUCGACUAGGUGACUUCUAGAUGUUGGAUCCAAUACUAGAGUAGUUAGAAUUGACCUAAGAAAAGUUUUGUUGUUUCCCUUGCUGUUCAUGAAUGGCUUUACUACUGUGGAUGCAGCAUGGGCUAGAGAUUGUCUAUUUAUCCAUUUUGUUAGAAAAUCCUUUUUGGUGAUCCAUGAGUACAUGCCCAGCAAUAGCUUAGAUAAACACUUUGUCUUAAAGAGAUUUUGAACUCUUUCACUGUCAGCUUUUCUAGUACUACAUCUGAAAACCUUACCAACACUUGUCUUCAACAGCAAUGGUAAGAUGAAGAUUCCAACAUGCCCCCCAAAAACAUGACAAUAUUCCAGUCUUAUCUUAUUCAAAUGAUGUUGGAACUGCAUGAUCUUGGACUUGUUAGGAAGCUAACUCAACAAGAUUUCAAAUGGGACAUGAUAAACUUGAAUUUAUAAAAUUUCCUAAGAGUCUAAAAGCUGAAUUAUUCUGCUGAUGGACCAGUGAGACGUGGGACCCAUGUAUUCCACAUCAUUGCCCUGUAUCUUAAAAUUCUGCCAUUUAUGAUAACAUGACCAUAUAUUGGUUUUAUCUUGUUCAAAUGAUUUAGGAAUUGCAUGAUGUUGGGCUUGUUGUAAAUCUAGGAUUUUGAAGGGAAGACAAAUUUACAUAUCAUUCUAAUUUCCAUUGACCCUCGAAUCAGAUCUACCCUUUAUAUUAUGGGAACAGAAUAUGACACAUCACAUAACAUGAAUGGAGUGAUAGUGCGCUCGUGGCUCAUGAAUGGAGUGACUCCUGUUAUUGGGCUGGUAGACAGGGCAUCCUCUGCAAGCUAGAUCUAGAGAAAGCUUACGACCAUGAGGUGUGUCCACUUUCCCCUAAUGUGACGAGCUGCGGGUGCCUUCUCUUUUUCGUUUGCCUUUGUCGUUGUAUCAAUCACCACUUGCCAGUAUGGGGAGUUGGCAACAUUUGGAGUUAUGUCCGAGGACAUGGCAAAGGAUGGGUAUGAAGACAUAGUGAACGUUGACAUCUCUUCAGUUGUCAUUGAUAUGAUGAGAAAGAAAUAUGAGUAUCUCCUGCAGCUGAAAUGUAUCCUUGUCAAAUGAAACUUUUCUUAACAAUUUCAAAAGUUCUUAGUUCUUAUAUGUAACUAGAAUGCCCUUUGUCUGCUUCAGAUAUCCUGCAUCUUAUAGACUUGCAAAUUGAUGUCAGAGAUAUGAGCUUCUUCCAGGAUGAAACGUUUGAUGGUGUCAUCGAUGAAGGAACUCUUGAUUCCUUGAUGGUAAGACUUAUACUUGGGAUGUUGUCAUGACGCCUCCAAUUGACUUAUAGGCAUAUUAUAAUUCAAUCGUGUUAUGCUUUUGGAUUAUAGUGUGGCACCAAUGCUCCGAUUGGUACUUGCCAAAUGUUAGCAGAAGUGAGCAGGUUUAGGCUUCAUCCACCUCAGGAGUCGAAUCUGAUUUGUAAUUACUGAUGUGUUGUAGGAUUUCUCAUCUGUGGUUAUGUGGGAAUUCUAGUUGUUCAGAUUGAUACUUGAUUGUUACUGAAAUUUCCAUUACUAACAAGCAUUUUCUUCUUCCAUGUUGGCUUCUUAAACCUGGAGGGAUCUAUAUGUUGGUACACACUUGUGCUGAAAAUAUUUCUUUUUAAAGGGCUGUGUUUAAUUAAUUUUCUGAGAUAGCAGUGUCAUUUU